CUGGAGACCAGUCAUUUCUCUAAUGAGGCUGUGCAAACAUCAUGUGUUCCUCUGUGGAAAGAAAUGGAGAUGGCCAGGAGCAACAGGACACACUGAGCUAAUGACAGAUCUGAAGAAGUGUCAACACUGCAAGGGAGAAAGCUCGGAGCAGCGGGAGUGUGGCUCGCAGGGGAGAUGGGAGUGACAGCAAAUAUGCUUUUCAAGGAAAGGAAAAGAAACAAGAAGCCCUCUGAGGGUUCCCCAUGGAAUACCCUCUGAUAGAGGUAUUUGCUGACGUGAGGAAAAAUACUUAGUUUCAGAAAUAUUGCAGGCAUUUCCUCUGAGAAUUUGCUCCUGCUUACAGCAAACAAAGAAGAGAAACUCAAACUGGUGCAUGCAGGCAUCAGAUGUUUGCUAUGAGGCAUUUGCCAAGAAGAAAGAGGUUUGCAAAGGGCAUCAGACUCCAGGAGACCCCCAUGUAGACUGGGAGAUGAGGCUUAUCUCAGAUUCUACCCAGGAGUCCAAAAAAACAGGGGGUUUAUUUCUAAACCACCACUGGCUACACGAAGAUAUCUUUGCAAGUGCAGUUGUGACUCCCAGUGGGAGCUCCCGUUUUUCAACAGGUCUGAAAUUCAGGCUGUUUCAGUUUUAGCAGCCUAAAUGAGCACUUAGCACUUCUGAAAUGCUUGGCCAAAAGCACUGCAGCCAAGAAUGAAAGUUGCAUGAACUCGGAAAGAACAAGGUAUCGCAUUAACCUUUGGUUAUCAGAAGAAUGUAAAACAUCUUAGAUUUAUUCCCCAAGCUCAAUUCAGUUUUCAUCAGUGCUGAACAGCCAGUACACCAGUGACAUAACUGGGAAUAUCAUGAAGCAGCCAGCUUGAAGUCAUUGCUGGCAGUAGGGUCUUUGUGUGUUUUGUGCCUGACAGUUUGUAAAGACCAGAAUUCAUCAUUCAAACCUGAUGCAAAAGAAGUUUUCAGUGUGCUGUGGUGGGUUUUGUGUUUUGUUCUAG